rnacentral:rRNA from 1 species
AGGCAGCAGUGGGGAAUCUUGCGCAAUGGACGAAAGUCUGACGCAGCCACGCCGCGUGAGUGAAGAAGGCCUUCGGGUUGUAAAGCUCUGUCGGAAGGGACAAAAACCCUUUAGGUUAAUAGCCUAGAGGCUUGAUGGUACCUUCAAAGGAAGCACCGGCUAACUUCGUGCCAGCAGCCGCGGUAAUACGAAGGGUGCAAGCGUUGCUCGGAAUUAUUGGGCGUAAAGGGUAGGUAGGUGGUUACGUAUGUCUGAGGUGAAAGCCCCGAGCUUAACUUGGGAAGUGCCUUGGAAACGGCGUAACUAGAGUAUUGGAGAGGUUUGUGGAAUUCCCGGUGUAGCGGUGAAAUGCGUAGAGAUCGGGAGGAACAUCAGAGGCGAAGGCGACAAACUGGACAAUAACUGACACUAAACUACGAAAGCGUGGGUAGCAAACAGGAUUAGAUACCCUGGUAG